ensembl:lncRNA
UGCCGGGGGCCGGGCUGGGCUAGGCUGGGCCGGGCUCGGGGGGAGGAGGAGGAGGAGGAGGAGGAGGAGAACGGGCGGACGGGGGGAGGGCAACGGCGUCGGCGCUGCUGCUGCAGCCACUUUCCAGCACUGUGCCUCUGUCGGGAGGAGGAGCCGCUUCGCGCCGCGCCAGUUUGCGGGGAACAGCCCCGGCGGGUGUUUAUAUAGAGGCGGCGCGGGCCGGUACUCUGCCGGCGGGCGGGGGGGAGCCCCUCCUCCCUCCCCUUCGAGGCGGGGGCGACUGCGACGACGGGAGGGGGGCAGGAGGCCGGGCGCUGGAGCGUGCCAGCUCUGGCCGCGGGCCCGCCGGGAGAGACGCGCCGAAGAGCCUUGCUGGACGCCCUCCGCCGCCAGCCGUCGGCGCUCCGUCCCUGCGGAGAGAAGAGCACACCGAGAGUCCGUCAGCCACGGAGUGGGGCCGUCCCUCGGCCAGAAGACGGCGACGGAGCACAUGGACCCCCCAACCUGCCGCCCAUCCCGUCUGCUGCUGCUGCCGUCGAGAGAGGAGAGCCGGCCGAGCUCCCGAGGGGAGACCGGAGCGUCCCUGGCGGGAACCACCAACGGACCACCGAGGGUGCGCCGGGUGGCCCCCAUCCCUUGAGUGGCGGAGGAGAAGGAAACGGUCUCUAGCGAAGCGCCGCCGACCGAAGGCGAAGGAAGAGGAGCCGUUUUUCUCAGGGCCGCCGCCGGCCACAGGAGCUCCCUCCAGUCGUUGCUACAUUUCGACCCUGUCGCCCAGAAGCCAAAAGGACGCCCCAAACUUCCAUCACGGAAGGGUCUCUAUCUCAGGAGAUACGGGGAAAACCGACCAUCCUCUCCCGCAUCUCAUGGGAAGAUCUCCUGCGCAAGGGGCAGGAGGGAGAGGGAGAAGAGGCAUUGCAGGCACCUCCGGUUCAUUGCAAGAGGGGGGCUGUUUCUUGGAGGGGUGUCUUGUGCAGGAGAAACUAACGCGCUUUGCAAAAACGCCUGACUCUGGGCACUUUCUGGAUCCGCCUGGCUGGGAAGCACCUGGGAAGCCAGGCACCCAGGAAAUAAAUCACCAAACAUGAUGAUUGCCCCCACAAAUCCGAACCUUGAAUGCACAGCUGUGAGAGGCUCACUGGAGACCCUCCCCCCAUGGGGAUUUGGCACCUGGCAGAGAGGAGUGAGGUGCCCCUAAAGUGCCUGAAUCAACAAAGGUCUUCAGAUGGGGUCCCAAGUCCACACUGAUCACGGAGGGACAACAAUAGCCAGGGACGGCUUGUAUGAGUGAAAGUCCCUUCGAGAAACGGAACUGCCCUGCUACAAACGCCCCUUGCAUUUCAGCAGAGACAACCCACGCUGGCAAGAUCCACGCUGGUGGACCUUGAGCAAAAGUCAUGGAAAGGGACUCUGCAGCAUCGCGACAGAGAUGGAAUUCUGGAGAGAAAGUCAAUGCACAAUCAGAGUGGUCUACAGAUUGGUCUUUCCCCUCCCUUUAACCCCUAAAAUACAUCUCAGGGGUCCAGCUCCCUGGUAAAAGGUCCUUUCUUGGGGGUUUGUUCAGGCACAUCAUGCUUAGCCCACCGGAAUGCCACUCCCAAGAACGCUGGUCUCUGUUUUUCCCUAGCAGCCAGAAGGAAAAGCACAAGUCAGGGCAGGUAACAGAGGCUGGCCCAUCGUGCUGUUGAGGCAGCUGCCUCUGUUUCCUAGAUGCCAGCCGUUUGCCAGUUCCAGGGCCAACAUUGCUCAUUUACUUGCUGCGGUUGUAUCCCUCCAUGGAGCUCAAGGUGGCAUUUGUGGUUCUCCCUCCCCUCAUUUAAUCCCCACAGCAACAGGAACCCUGCAAGGAAGGUUAGGCUGAGAGGCAGUGACUGCCCCCACCCCCAGGUUACACCCAGUGAGCUUCAUGGAGGAUUUGAACCCUGGUCUCUUCCAGGUCCUGGUCCAACACUCUAACCACUGCACCACACUGCCUAGCUUGAAGCUGCACACAGGGCCUGGGUGCAAACAUAAAACAAUCCAUACUGAUUUGGUUUUGCUUUUUGGCAGGGGGCUUGAUGACCUUCUCCAUCAGCAAGAAUGGGGAGUGGGAGUGGGCAGAGCAGCCCCCAAGAGGCUCAGGAGUCAACAGAGCCUUUCUCUAUUGGGGUCUCCCCAGUGGGGCUUUUUCAGGAAGGCCCCACCUGUUGCUGUGGAGGGGUUUCAAAGGGGGAGUGGGGUUCAGUUGCCUUCUUUGUUUUGCAGUAUUGUGGACUUCAAGAAGAUGCGUCUUCUGUGGCCCAGCCCAGUUGAGGUCUCCUGAUGUUCUGAUGGUCAGCUGUGUUUGUGGAGUCCACGGGCUCAGGAUGAAUUAAGAGCCCAAAGCAGAGGCUUUUCGGACACAGCCGAGGCUCACAGGAGAGACCUUUGCCAAUGUGGCUUUGCAAUGUAAUGUUAGAAAGCACACAAGACCCCAGGCACACAGACCCAGAGCCCUGGCCUGCCUCUCCCCUUCUGCCUUAACAGCCCCAUCAUAGCUCAAGAGAGGCUCAAAGGUGACCUCACAGAAUCACAGAGCUGUCGAGUUCCAAGGGGACCCAAGGGUCAUCUAGUCCAACCCUCUGCAAUGCAGGAACUGGAUUGCCUCACUUGUAAACAGUCUUGGAUUUGUGGCAGAAGCAUCAUGUACACAGUUUAAAACAAAUGCAGCCAGUGCGUUACCAAAACGCACACUUGCAAUCUGAAAGCAAGGGAGAAAUCUCUUCUUUCCUGACCCAGAGACACAGCACCACAGUCUUGUGUGUUUAACACCAACCAAUCAGAUGGUCGGUGAGGCCAACUUCACGGUUUUCUCUAGCGCCCCCACCCUCUCAAGAAGAGAGCCAAUUGGUCAGGCAGCGUCUGUGGCCCUCUGUGAGUGGCGGCCAAAUCCAGCUCCAGCAAUCUCAAGCCCAAGACAGGUUUGCCUGUCCAUUUCCCAAGGCAGCAGUGGAUCUUGCCCACUGCCCAUGAGCAGAUUUCCAUAGCAGGUCCAGGUUCUCAGCUGGGGAGAGGAAGAGCCAAGGAUACGGGUGAGAAAGGAGACCCAGGAAGCAACAGUUCAUGGGGGCUGAUUUGGGAUCACAGCAGUUUUGGAGAUCUGCUUGACCACUGUGCCCCCAAGUGGGAGAGUGACUAAAGAGCCUAAGACUGGGCUGGGGGGUGUGAUCUUGCCCCACCCUGCUCCAAGCUGUUUUGCUUUCCCUUUUGUUUUGGGGCUCAGUCACAGGAAAGUCAAGAAAGAGUUUCACACACAAGAUGCCAAAGAACUGUAGCCCCCAAGCACAACAGCGGUGGGAAGUCCUUCUUGGCCGUCUGCCAUGGAUGCUUUAGCUGAGAUUCCUGCAUUGCAGGGGGUUGGACUGGAUGACCCUGAGAGGCCCCAUCCAACUCUGUGAUUCCUGCACAAACCCCACUGCAAAGAGUCCCAGCUUUGAAAUCGGCAAACUUCUGCUUUUGAGCAACUCCCAUUGAUUUCAGCAGGGCCUGUGCUGGAAAUCAUGUCAAUCCAUGAGACUGGAGGGGUCAUAUGGCUUUGCGGCCCCCACCCUGCUCCUUCAGUCGUCCUCACUGCCUUCUCAAAACAAAGGUAGCCUAAAAGGGUUGACUUGUAUCCCCCAAAUUCAAGUGAUGUCCCACAAAGGAGGAGAUUGUUUUGUCUCGACAUCAAUUCACCCCCAGCCCCAAAGCAGGGCUCUUCCGCAGCCUCCGGGGUCUGUGCAGGGCAGGUGGAAAUGGCCCGGCCCCAAUCCAGCCCCCAAGUCCAGCUGCUUUGGCCCUUUGCGAUUACAGAUCUCCCAGUCCACUCUUUGCCCUGUAACCCCACCUGGUGGACAAUUUGGGCUGCGCAACGUUUUGUCAUAAGCAAAUGUUUUGUUUGUUUCGUAUUAAAAAUGCCGAGUUUGCUUUCUUUAAAAAUAUUAUUAUUAUUAUUAUUAUUAUUAUUAUUAUUAUUAUUACUCCUCUACUGAUCCAAUCAAUAUCAGUCAUCUGCCUACAUUCCAGACUCUGGAUUCAACAAGAAGGAUUUUUACAUCUUUGGUUUCUGUGCAAAUGCACCUUCUAUUUUUGCUGAUGGCCACAGGUGGGGGUCUUCCUUGCUGCUCCCCUCAUCCCAGUUAACUGCAGCCCUGAGACUGGCUGGGACUGCCACUCAGUGUGUCUGAGGCUGCCAGUACCCCCUUUUGGCAAAGGGUCUUAAAUCUGCAGGUGAACCUGGAGAAGGAGGGGAAAGGAACAUUCAUUUUGCAAAACAACUCCUUGGGAUCUCAUUGGCCAGUUUGCCUCCUCUUUGGGGGAAAAUCAGCAAAACAGUUAUGGCGCUUGGCAAAUAAGAGCCUAAGGACAGCCUGCAGGAUGAGGCCAGUCUACUCCAGUAUCCUCUUCUCACUGUGGCAAACCAGAUGCCUGUGAGAUCCAAGCACCAGAACCAGAUCCCUUCCUGUGGUUUCCACUAACUGGGAUUCAGAAACAUUCUGGCUUCCAAAUGUGGAGACGCAGCAGAGCCGUCCGGCUAGGAUCCACCAACGGCCCUCUCCUCCUCCAUGAAUUUGCCCGGCCCUCUUUUAAAUCUGUCCUGCAGAAGGGAGUUCCAUAGCUUAACACUCUGCGUUGUGUGAAUAAAAACUGACCUGUCCUGAACCCACAUGAAUCCAGAAAGCAAUGAAGCCCAAGGGCUUUUGUCCUUCUAGUCUCUGACACCACUAUGGUAAUGUUUUGUUUGUUGUCUGCAAAUUGACAUUGGGGAGGUGGAGAGAGAGAGUGAGUUACCUUGAUGACUGCAUCUGGCUGUUCACAGCCCAGUCAUUGGGCAAGUCUCUGCAUUUGAACCCAGCCAGGCUGAUGCCAAGGUGAGGUCACAGCCUUCGUGAACUUGGGACCCUGUGAACUUUGGGUCACCAGAGAUUUUCACCAGAGCUUCCUUCUCUCCGGCGCCUCGGCUCAUUUCCGAAGCUGAGCGAUGCAUCACUAGCUCAUUGAGUCCUGCCCUGCCCUGGGUUCUCUAGUGUGUACAUAAGCCUGCAUGGCACUUAAUCUCGCUCUCCCGACAACACCCAACUGGCCUGCCUACAAUCUGCCCUUCUUGACAUGGCUUUCAUCCAACCACCUCUUCUCAAUAAGUCGUCUGGCCCUCGGGGAGAGCAGUGGCAGAGCAUUAAAUCCCAAUGGGAAGGCGUCCUUCACGACCCCCACCAAAGCCAUGUCCCUUCCAAGAAGUAUUUUCCAGGCCAUGCCGAUACUACAGCUGCAAUGCCAAGCCAGCUAUUCCCUCCUCCUUUCUGCCUUCCAGUCUGCAGGAACAUGAGAAGAGCCCCCCUGUACCAGGCCCAUGCAGGGACGCAGGUGGCGCUGUGAGUUAAACCACAGAGCCUAGGACUUGCCGAUCAGAAGGUUGGCGGUUUGAAUCCCCGCGACGGGGUGAGCUCCCGUUGCUCGGUCCCAGCUCCUGCCAACCUAGCAGUUCGAAAGCACAUCAAAGUGCAAGUAGAUAAAUAGGUACCACUCCAGCGGGAAGGUAAACCGUGGACCUGGGAGAAGGGGGUUUUGGUUUCCCAAAUGUGGAGGGCGAAUUGAAGGCACAGGGCAAAGUUGAGAAAAAAGGCUAAUUGGAAAAGGAGGAGGGCAAGUUCAAGGCAGCUCUGAAAAAGAUGGGGGAAAGGCAGCUGCAGGGGCUGGACUGGAUAACCCACUGGGGUCCCUUCCAACUCUGCAAUCAUAUGAUUCUAAGAGGUUCCAGCGACUGGCCUCACAGCAGCC